GUCUUUUUGAAUAUAAAAAAAGUCAAGCCUGCCCCCUGAAUUAGUUUUUAAGGGCCGCGGUAUUUUGACCGUGCGAAGGUAGCGUAAUCAUUAGUUUUUUAAUUGAAAUCUUGUAUGAAUGGUUAGACAAAAGAAAAUCUGUCUCUUUAUUAAACAUUGAAUUUAACUUUUAAGUGAAAAGGCUUAAAUAAAUUAAAGGGACGAUAAGACCCUAUAAAGCUUAAUAUAAAAUACUAUUUAAUUAAAUUUAUUUUUAUAAAAGUUUUAUAGUAUAGUUUAUUUUAUUGGGGUGAUAAAAGUAAAAUUUUUAUUAACUGCUUAAAGUAAUAAAACAUUUAUGGUUGGAAUAAAAAAAUAAAGGAUCCUAAUUAAAGAUUAAAAGUUUAAGUUACUUUAGGGAUAACAGCGUUAUUUUUUUUGAGAGCACAUAUCGAAAAAAGAGUUUGCGACCUCGAUGUUGAAUUAAAAUUUCUUUAUAGAUGUAGAAACUAUAAAAGUUGGUCUGUUCGACCUUUAAAAUUUUACAUGAUUUGAGUUCAAACCGGCGUAAG
rnacentral:rRNA from 1 species